rnacentral:tRNA from 1 species
GAGGGUAUGGCUCAGCGGCAGAGCGUGUGCUUAGCAUGCACGAGGUCCUGGCUUCAGUUUCCAGCACCUCCG